AUUGAACGCUGGCGGCAGGCCUAACACAUGCAAGUCGAGCGGAUGAAGGGAGCUUGCUCCUGGAUUCAGCGGCGGACGGGUGAGUAAUGCCUAGGAAUCUGCCUGGUAGUGGGGGAUAACGUCCGGAAACGGGCGCUAAUACCGCAUACGUCCUGAGGGAGAAAGUGGGGGAUCUUCGGACCUCACGCUAUCAGAUGAACCUAGGUCGGAUUAGCUAGUUGGUGGGGUAAAGGCCUACCAAGGCGACGAUCCGUAACUGGUCUGAGAGGAUGAUCAGUCACACUGGAACUGAGACACGGUCCAGACUCCUACGGGAGGCAGCAGUGGGGAAUAUUGGACAAUGGGCGAAAGCCUGAUCCAGCCAUGCCGCGUGUGUGAAGAAGGUCUUCGGAUUGUAAAGCACUUUAAGCUGGGAGGAAGGGCAGUAAGUUAAUACCUUGCUGUUUUGACGUUACCAACAGAAUAAGCACCGGCUAACUUCGUG
rnacentral:rRNA from 1 species